AUUUAUAUAGUUUAAUAAAAACAUUACACUUUCAUUGUAAAAUUAGAUUCUUUUCUUAUAAAUA
rnacentral:tRNA from 1 species